CCUACGGGUGGCAGCAGUGGGGAAUCUUCCGCAAUGGGCGCAAGCCUGACGGAGCAACGCCGCGUGAGUGAAGAAGGUCUUCGGAUCGUAAAGCUCUGUUGAUGGGGACGAACGUGCGAAGGGUGAAUAAUCCUUUGUAAUGACGGUACCUAUCGAGGAAGCCACGGCUAACUACGUGCCAGCAGCCGCGGUAAUACGUAGGUGGCGAGCGUUGUCCGGAAUCAUUGGGCGUAAAGGGAGCGCAGGCGGGCAUGUAAGUCUUUCUUAAAAGUGCGGGGCUCAACCCCGUGAUGGGAAAGAAACUACAAGUCUUGAGUACAGGAGAGGAAAGCGGAAUUCCCAGUGUAGCGGUGAAAUGCGUAGAUAUUGGGAGGAACACCAGUGGCGAAGGCGGCUUUCUGGACGACAACUGACGCUGAGGCGCGAAAGCCAGGGGAGCAAACGGGAUUAGAUACCCGAGUAGUC
rnacentral:rRNA from 1 species